UACGUAGGUGGCAAGCGUUGUCCGGAUUUACUGGGCGUAAAGGAUGCGUAGGCGGACAUUUAAGUCAGAUGUGAAAUACUCGAGCUUAACUUGGGUGCUGCAUUUGAAACUGGGUGUCUAGAGUGCAGGAGAGGUAAGUGGAAUUCCUAGUGUAGCGGUGAAAUGCGUAGAGAUUAGGAAGAACACCAGUGGCGAAGGCGACUUACUGGACUGUAACUGACGCUGAGGCAUGAAAGCGUGGGGAGCAAACAGG
rnacentral:rRNA from 1 species